AUAAGUGAACAAUGUACAAGUACAAUGGCAGUAGAUUAACUAUAUCCCUGUACGUUGCAUUUAUUUCAAAUUUGCCCAUUUGUUUCCAGUUGCUCUGUAAAUUGGGAGGAACAAGGCUUCAAUGUGAAAAGCUAUAUUAUAUUUCUCUUUGUAUUUGGAUUGGUGUUGCCAUUAAUAGUAAUUGGAUUCAGCUACAUCAGCAUAAUUAUUCGACUGAAGCAACAAAACUUACAAUCCGGCCAGGUAAAGCAGUCUGAAAAACGAGUAACCAUAUCCAUAUUCGUAAUGAUCGUGGCAUUUCUAACCGCCUGGAUGCCGUACGCCGUGAUGGCUCUAGUUGCACAAUUUGGUGCAAAAAACAGCAUUACACCAGCAAUGGGAGUGAUUCCAGCCAUCCUUGCGAAAAGUAGUGUAUGUUACAACCCCGUCAUUUAUGUCGCCUUUAAUACGCAGUUUCGCCACUCAUGGAUGCAAAUGUUCUCGAAAGCGCGUCGUAGGGAUACUGGAAGGACUACAAAUGUGACAACCCUCUAAUGUUUUUAUAUUUAAAUGUAAACAUAAUGUACGAAGUAUAGUUUAUUUUUGUAAAUUUUCUUAUUUAGUAACGUUGAAUGAAAUUAUCUGAAAUGUAGCUUUUCUCUACAGAAUUGACAUACUAAAAUCUUUCAAAACAAGAUAAAUUAAUUUUUGAAAUUAAAGACAAAAAUUGUCAGACUAGUUUUAUGGGUGACGUGUUCUGUUCCGUUUCACUACCACCUCCAUUCAGCUAUAUUUUAGGGAUUUAUGUUUAAAUAGGGUAGGUAUAUUAUUAUUAUGUUAUAUCUGUAUUAUAU